CAUUGUCGAAUCCUGCACAGCAGAACGACCCGCGAACCGUCGAAUCGCAUCCUUCUGGACGAGAGCCGGGCGGCCUCCGCCUUCCCCGGUGCCUCGGCCGAAACAACAAACCCCGGCGCGGCACGCGCCAAGGAAAACUCGAACGGAAUUGGUGUGCCCGGACGAUAGUGCAUCGUCCCGGUGCCGCCGGUCUUCCGGGAAAAUCUCGAAUGACUCUCGGCAACGGAUAUCUCGGCUCUCGCAUCGAUGAAGAACGUAGCGAAAUGCGAUACUUGGUGUGAAUUGCAGAAUCCCGUGAACCAUCGAGUCUUUGAACGCAAGUUGCGCCCGAGGCCACCCGGCCGAGGGCACGUCUGCCUGGGCGUCACGCGAACGCCGCUCCCGCCCCCUCGCAAGAGCGCGGACAGGAGCGAAUGUUGGCCCCCCGUGACCCGGCUCACGGUCGGCUUAAAACGGAUCCCCCCUCGUUGCCCCGCGACGCGAUCGGUGGUGGUUGACGGCAACCCUUACCCGCGAUUGGACGACGCGGCCGAGGGGCACGGGGGAAACGAACCCUUCGGAGAGAACUCCACGAGCGACCUCAGGUCAGG
rnacentral:rRNA from 1 species